AGUAGUUUGUAUUUUCAAAUGUGUAGCUUAGGCUUUUGAUUGAACUGAUUAGAUAGUUUGUACCCCUUAUUCUUUUUUGUGAUUAAUUAUCUUAAUACUUCAACUAUGCUUAUCUAAUGAAGAAACUGUAGAUUCGAUAAUUAAUGCCCUAAUUGGAGCUUUUCUCCCAAAUAUUUCUCUCAUGUGUCGGUUAUAUCAUCUCAAUUGAGCUAAAGUUAGGUGGAUAUCAGUUUGAUUGUAUUUCUGGCUCGUGGGUGUUAAGAAGAAAACAAGAGUCAGUUACAUUGAAAUAAUUGUUGCAUUGAUUUUUCUGUUUACACUGUAUUUCACUGAAGAAACCACUGUUUGUUUGAUGUUAUGAGAUAAUAGUUUUAUUUUUAAUUGUGUCCUUUGAUUGUUGUAUUGGGCGUGAGGCUAGAAAUUUUGACAUGAGAUCUUCCUCGAAAAUAAAAUGAGGCCUAGAAAUUUUGAAAUGAGAUUUAGCCUUUUAUAAAAGGGACAGGAUACAAACUGAAUUUCUUACGAUAGGGAAGAUAUGCUCGUCCUCCCCCCCUCGUCCUGCUCCAGCCCCAGUAAACCAUGCUCCUCCACCAGCUCCCUUGCAAAGUAGUGGUGGUGGAUCCAUGCUUGGUGGUAUUGAUUUUACCAUAGCUCAAGUUUGUUUUUAAUUUGCAUGUUUUACAAGGAUGGCCUUUGGUACUGGAAGUGUUGUGGCACAUAGGGUUGUAGAUGCUGUCAUGGGUCCAAGCACCAUUCAACAUGAAACUGUUGCUUCCCAAGCACCUGCUACAGCUGCACCAAUGACCAGCGGUGCUGGUUCAGAUGCUUGUGGUAUGCACACUAAGGCAUUCCAAGAUCGAAUUAAUAAUUAGCUCCGGAAGAGACAUUGACAAGUGUCAGUUCUACAUGGAUAUGUUGUCCGAGUGCAGGAGGAACUCAAUGAUGAAUGCCUAAGAUUUUGUUGGUGGGGUGUUAUUCUUAUAACGUUAAACUCAUUCUUAAUCGUAUUGUUGAAAUAACGAUGGAAUUAUGAUCUAGCUGCAUUGAUUUGUCAUAGUGAAUUUGGUUCUUGAUAUACUUUGCCUCCAAUAAUUAUAGGCUGAAGUCUGUGAAGUAUUGGACUUCUAUAGAACUAUCCAUGCUACUAUAUUUCAGUAUGCUUUUUAUGCUAGGAUGUGCUGCCUUUGAUUACUAUCCAAUUGUUGAAAUACAAAAACUCCUAGUUCUGAUGUGAGUAUAAUUUAAUGCUA